AUAAUUUCCACCAAUAUGCAAUAUUGCAAGCCGUCGGUUAGUUCUAAAACCCUAGGCCGAUCCUUCAGACCAAUCUGUUCUUCCCUGCCGAAUUCCUUUAUCCUUUAAAUCUGAUAUCUAAGGCACAGAAAGAAAGAAGCUUGAUUCGCAAUGGCGCCGCUUAUAAACAGGUUCCCUUUUGUUGCUAAUCAUUUGAAGCGAAUGAUAACCAAGCUUAACGCAAACGAUGAAAAGCACGUUAUAAAAUCAUGGUCUCGUGCGUCUAUGAUUAUUCCUGAAAUGGUUGGCCAUCGUAUCGCUAUUCAUAAUGGUAAGAAACAUCGCCCGAUUCAGAUCAAGGAUGCUAUGGUAGGACACAAGUUGGGAGAGUUUGCACUUACACGAGCGCGUAAACCACAAAAGCAACAAAAUGUGAAGAAACCCGGCAAGAAGAAGUGAUCAGGUUUUAAGAUAACAACAGAUCAAGAUUUAUCGUUGUUAAGCUCUACUUUUGUCAGGUGAUCAUACUGAAACUUGUUACGUUGUGUGUUUUACAUUUUAGUUUAUCGAGUAUUUUGUGGAUGAUUGAGGAUGUUAGAAUUCUGGGAUUAUGCUUCAGAUUGACAGUUUAUUUCAUAAUCGUUCCAUUGAAAAUGAUGGUAUUUUUGAA